CGAACAACUGCCCUAUCAGCCAGUGAUGGCCGUGUAGUGGACUGCCAUGGCGUUGACGGGAGCGGGGGAUUAGGGUUCGAUUCCGGAGAGGGAGCCUGAGAAAUAGCUACCACUUCUACGGAGGGCAGCAGGCGCGCAAAUUGCCCAAUGUCAAAAAAAAAAGAUGAGGCAGCGAAAAGAAAUAGAGCCGACGAUACCUAUGGUAUUGUCGUAUUCAAUGGGGGAUAUUUAAACCCAUCCAAAAUCGAGUAACAAUUGGAGGACAAGUCUGGUGCCAGCACCCGCGGUAAUUCCAGCUCCAAAAGCGUAUAUUAAUGCUGUUGCUGUUAAAGGGUUCGUAG
rnacentral:rRNA from 1 species